rnacentral:rRNA from 1 species
UUAGGAAUUUUGCGCAAUGGGGGAAACCCUGAUCCAGCAAUGCCGCGUGAGUGAUGAAGGCCUUCGGGUUGUAAAGCUCUUUUACCAGGGAUGAUAAUGACAGUACCUGGAGAAUAAGCUCCGGCUAACUCCGUGCCAGCAGCCGCGGUAAUACGGAGGGAGCUAGCGUUGUUCGGAAUUACUGGGCGUAAAGCGCGCGUAGGCGGCUAUUCAAGUCAGGGGUGAAAUCCCGGGGCUCAACCCCGGAACUGCCCUUGAAACUAGGUAGCUAGAAUACUGGAGAGGUGAGUGGAAUUCCGAGUGUAGAGGUGAAAUUCGUAGAUAUUCGGAAGAACACCAGUGGCGAAGGCGACUCACUGGACAGUUAUUGACGCUGAGGUGCGAAAGCGUGGGGAGCAAACAGGAUUAGAUACCCGCGUAGUCC